AAGCGUGCUUGGGCGAGAGUAGUACUAGGAUGGGUGACCUCCUGGGAAGUCCUCGUGUUGCACCCU
rnacentral:rRNA from 1 species